UAAGUGGUUACUGAGUGCUCCUAGAGACUUAGGCAGAAUGACUGAUUCUGUUUUUCAGGUGCCAGUCCUUCUAUGGGCAAGGAUUUCAGUGGGAAUUGUCAGCAACUGGGAAAGAGUGGACACAACUGUACAACAAUGGGAGUUGAGUACAGGGUGCUGGGCAAUAAAUGUCACAAACUUCCAGUUGGCAUAAGGUUUUUAAAUUAUGCACACAUUUUAGUAAUGGGAAAGUUUAUGUAAAUAUGUCUUGGAUGAGAGUGUAUGAAAAUUGUACAGCUAUUAGCUGUAAUCACCCUUGGGAUAAAUCCAUUUCUGGAGUAGGAGAGGCAGAGGGAAUAUGAAAGGUGAAAGACCAGGAAGGGCAUAAGAGAGUCACACUACUGGGAUAAUAAGAUUCUGGGAACUUGUUUUGACCAAUGCCUGCAGCAGUUUUCCUCUGCCUAGGGUGCCCUGGUCACUGCAUGGCAGACACCAGCUAAAACAGAAGCUCCACUGGACUCAGCAGCUCAAAAGCCAGGGGCUGCAUCAUGCAUUAAGUAUACAUCUCUGAAUGAUGUCAGGCUCAGUCUGAGCCAGGCAGCAGCAGGAGGCGUUUCCAGUCACUUCAACUUUGCACCCACCUCUGUGUUAGGCCCGGGAAAGUCUUGUCAGCAGCAAUGAUUGCUCACUGAUGCAGCAAUCGUGGGAGACAGAAAGGCAUUUGGCAAUUCUGGUCCCCAGACGGGCACAACAGCUGGUAUGGGGCACCUGGGAUGCUCUGCCAUGCGGGUGGGUUCGGGAGGUGUUUAUGUAAUCCUCCAAGCUGCCUGGGAGCUUUGUGGGUUGUGUACAAAUGAUCAAAUGCAAAUAGUCCCUAGUGGUCACAGCUUGUUUUCUCAAAAUUUUACUGCACGCCACACACAAGGACAAGCUGGAGGGAGUGUGUUAACAAUCUAGUGGUUGAGAACCACCUAAAAUGAGGGGAUGCCAUUAAAGCCAGGCAGACUGUCAAUGGCAUUACAUUCACUCAGGGAGCCAACACUCUCCCAUUAUGAAUGACCUCUUCCACCUGAGCGAAAAUAAAAUGACCGCAUGGCUCUCCGGCAGCUGAACUCCCCUUCUGGUGACUGUUCAUUAUUAUUCUGAAUUAGAUUCCACACUUUUACCUCAGGGAAACUGGAAAAGAAUAAACAGCGCUUAUGCCUCGGACCUUGAAUGCUACCUAAAAUCUACCUACACUCCAUCAGUCUCAAUGACUCAUGUUAAAAUCCCUGCUAGUCGUGUGAAAAUAUUACCUGCUUACCAUCAGAGAAGCAACCGCAAAGCAUGAUGGCCUCAUGCCCGGAGCUGAGCCUGGCACAGGUUCAUCAUCUCAGUCCUAGUUUUAGAGAUGGGAAAGCCAUGGUUUGGUGGGCUCCAGCAUAUAUGUGGCAGAGCUGGCAUGUAGAAUGAAGACUACUCUACCCAGAGGAUUCAUGAUAAUGGAGCAAUGAGACAGAGUGCUAUCAUGGGGAAAGGGAAGAUCUGGAGUCCUCAGAUCAGCAAAAGGACAUGCGCCUAGAUGGUUCAGCUUGGGAAGUGGAAAUAGCAAGGCAUGCGUGUAUACUGCUUAUAGGUGUUACAUGUACAGUUUUCUGUGCUGCAUUUGCCAGAGUAUACCAUCACAGAAAGAUGCUGAUUUUCAUUCAUCACCUGGGCAG